rnacentral:rRNA from 1 species
CUACGGGUUGCAGCAGUGGGGAAUAUUGCACAAUGGAGGAAACUCUGAUGCAGCAACGCCGCGUGGAGGAUGACACUUUUCGGAGCGUAAACUCCUUUUAUAUAGGAAGAAGAUGACGGUACUAUAUGAAUAAGCGCCGGCUAACUCCGUGCCAGCAGCCGCGGUAAUACGGAGGGCGCAAGCGUUACUCGGAAUCACUGGGCGUAAAGAGCGUGUAGGCGGAUUAAAAAGUCAGAAGUGAAAUCCUAUAGCUUAACUAUAGAACUGCUUCUGAAACUCUUAAUCUAGAAUAUGGGAGAGGUAGAUGGAAUUUCUGGUGUAGGGGUAAAAUCCGUAGAGAUCAGAAGGAAUACCGAUUGCGAAGGCGAUCUACUAGAACAUUAUUGACGCUGAGACGCGAAAGCGUGGGGAGCAAACAGGAUUAGAUACCCGCGUAGUC